UAGGGAAUCUUCCGCAAUGGACGCAAGUCUGACGGAGCAACGCCGCGUGAGUGAAGAAGGAUUUCGGUUCGUAAAACUCUGUUGUUAGAGAAGAACAGCGCAUAGAGUAACUGUUAUGCGUGUGACGGUAUCUAACCAGAAAGCCACGGCUAACUACGUGCCAGCAGCCGCGGUAAUACGUAGGUGGCAAGCGUUGUCCGGAUUUAUUGGGCGUAAAGCGAGCGCAGGCGGUCAAUUAAGUCUGAUGUGAAAGCCCCCGGCUCAACCGGGGAGGGUCAUUGGAAACUGGUUGACUUGAGUGCAGAAGAGGAGAGUGGAAUUCCAUGUGUAGCGGUGAAAUGCGUAGAUAUAUGGAGGAACACCAGUGGCGAAGGCGACUCUCUGGUCUGUAACUGACGCUGAGGCGCGAAAGCGUGGGAGCGAACAGG
rnacentral:rRNA from 1 species